AUUGAACGCUGGCGGCAGGCCUAACACAUGCAAGUCGAACGAGUGGCGGACGGGUGUACAGUGUCUGGGAAACUGCCUGAUCGAGGGGUAUAACUAGUGGAAACGGUCUCAACUAGCGCAUACCAUCAUUUGUGCUCAGAUGGGAUUAGCUUGUUGGUGGGGUAAAGGCGCACCAAGGCGACGAUCCCUAGCUGGUCUGAGAGGAUGACCAGCCACACUGGAACUGAGACACGGCCCAGACUCCUACGGGAGGCAGCAGUGGGGAAUAUUGCACAAUGGGCGCAAGCCUGAUGCAGCCAUGCCGCGUGUAUGAAGAAGGCCUUCGGGUUGUAAAGUACUUUCAGCGGGGAGGCGUUACCUGCAGAAGAAGCACCGGCUAACUCCGUGCCAGCAGCCGCGGUAAUAC
rnacentral:rRNA from 1 species